rnacentral:rRNA from 1 species
UACAGAGGGUGCAACCGUUGCUCGGAAUCAUUGGGCGUAAAGCGCACGUAGGCGGUCUGUUAUGUCGGAUGUGAAAGCCCUUGGCUCAACUGAGGAAGUGCAUCCGAAACUGGCAGGCUAGAGUACUAAAGAGGAUCGCGGAAUUCCCGGUGUAGAGGUGAAAUUCGUAGAUAUCGGGAGGAACACCGGUGGCGAAGGCGGCGAUCUGGGUAGAUACUGACGCUGAGGUGCGAAAGCGUGGGGAGCAAACAGG